CGCAAGCCUGACGGAGCAAGACCGCGUGGGGGAUGACGGCCUAAUGGUUGUAAACCCCUUUUCUCUGGGAAGAAGACUGACGGUACCAGAGGAAUCGGCCUCGGCUAACUCCGUGCCAGCAGCCGCGGUAAUACGGAGGAGGCAAGCGUUAUCCGGAAUUAUUGGGCGUAAAGCGUCCGUAGGUGGUUAUUCAAGUCUGCUGUCAAAGCGUGGGGCUUAACUCCAUAGAGGCAGUGGAAACUGAGUGACUAGAGUGCGGUAGGGGUCGAGGGAAUUCCCAGUGUAGCGGUGAAAUGCGUAGAUAUUGGGAAGAACACCAGUGGCGAAAGCGCUCGACUGGGCCUGCACUGACACUGAGGGACGAAAGCCAGGGGAGCG
rnacentral:rRNA from 1 species